rnacentral:lncRNA from 1 species
GCCCAUUUAAUGCCAGCAUAUCCAGAAACGUACGCGUGGCCUGGCGCGGAUUGCGGGGCGGAUUCGACAAACAAUCCGGUGCCGGCAGGUACCGGCACGGGUAAAUGCGACUUUCACCACUGGUACCUCCAUUCAGGCUUGCUAGACCAGUUUUCCUACCUUAGAAAUUCGAGAUUACAAGGCCAAACCGAUCUUCUAUUCCUGCACCUUAGCCGCGUCGGCUGUUUAUUCUGUUUUCUCUCGGUUUCCAC